GAAGGAACAACUUCAUGAUGUUUUGCCAGCUGGUCCUUUAUUUGGAGUAUGUACAACAUUGGAUCAGGGAAAAGCUGUUUCAACUUUUCUUAAUGCCAUUUUGGACAAGGCAUUUCAAAGCACUAUCGCGUUGAUUUCUUCUCGUGGGCGAGGUAAAUCUGCCGCUUUGGGUUUGGCAAUUGCAGGUGCUAUAGCUGCAGGGUAUUCGCGCAUUUUUGUUACUGCUCCUUCCCCCGAAAACAUGAAAUCACUGUUUGACUUCAUUUGUAAGGGACUGCGUUCAUUGAAUUUUGAGGAGCAUUUGCAUUAUGAUCUGGUCAGAAGUACAGAUUUGGAGUUUCGAAAGACAAUUACGCAAAUAAAUGUUUACAAGGAACACAGCCAAAUAGUUCAGUAUAUCCAGCCUCAUGACCAUGUAAAGCUCUCCCAAGCUGAACUUCUGGUUAUUGAUGAAGCAGCAGCUAUU
rnacentral:misc_RNA from 1 species